AUAUUAGUUUAUUAAUAAAUUAUGUCAGAUAAAAUAAUAUAACCAACUUACUCUCUAUAGUUUUCUACACACCAUGAUAUUUUCCAAAUUUUAAUACAUAUUUAACAUAAUAUGUUGGUUUUGUUGUCAGGUUACUAUUUUAAACAUCGGAGAUUUUUAUUUUUUUGAAAAAUAACAUGGGGGAUUUUCAUCAUGAUUCAUAUUGAGCUAAGGUAAAAGGACUAAAAUUUGAACAUUUUUUCGAGGUAAAAAAGACAAAAUAAUGACGAAUAAAAUGCUAAAAUGACAACUUUCAAUAGUUAAGUCAUGUUGGCUAUGUAACAAUAAAUAUAUUUCUGUAUUAAAAAUCUGAUUUUCAAUAUUUUUUAUAAAAAUUUGCGCACAUAAUUUGAUUUAUUUUUUUUUGGAAAGAUUAAGAGAAGAAUAUAUAAUUUAUGAUUUAUUUUAUUAAAAUACAUAGUGAUAAAUUUUUGAUAUAUGUAAUUUUGUCUGCCAUUUUAAAAUCAAAUUAAUAAAUAAAUAUAUUUUUUUAAAGUAACAAACAUGUUUAUUAAAUAGGUUAAGACAUAAGUGUUAUUUGUGUCGUCGAGAACGCAAGUGUUUAUUACAUCUGGUUUUCGGAAAAUUCAAAGUAUAUAGUAAAUUCUUUAUUUGGCUGUAUUGACCUAUUUUACAAAAACAAAAACAAAUCCCAUAACAUUACUAUUACCUUCUAUUGGUUAGUAGUAAACUAGUAACAAAUAAUAUCCGAAGACUGAAGCUGGACCCAUGACGAACGCGUUACUCACGCGCUCUGUAGAGACUAGAGAUGCUGUGAUAGUCGAAGAGCCAAUGACAUCUUUAGUCAACUAUUGAAACUCACUCGAACGUCACUAAAAUAUUUCCAUACUAAACAUUACGACACUAAAAUAUUUACCGUACCAGCUUUAUUAUGUGUUUUGCAAGAUGAUUCUUGUAUGUAGUUCUUUUGCAUGGGAUGGAUUGCGGGGAAAAUCUCCUUUGGCAGUAAAUUGUUUCUUUCAUACAUAUAUAUCAGGCAACUAAGACCAUCUUUAUCGGCGUCUUUAGCCGGUCUCUUAAGUUAAUUAGGCAUUAAAAAUAAAUCAAAAAAGUUAAUAAACAUAAGAGACGUCUUUAAUUUGGGGACAAGAAGAGACCGUAUUUGAGGCCACGUGUUGGCAAAAUGAGAGGAGAGAGGAGGAGCGUGUGUUUCUUUGGUUCGCUUUGGUUCGCAUUUCUCUUUCUCUCGAAGACAAGCAAAUCAACGGUGGCUUCUAGCGAGUCUGGAGCUCCGGAGCAAAUCGUCUCCGACCACCACAAAGAAUCCAUCGUGCCAAGAAGAGUGAUUUCUAUUGAGAGUGAGGAGUCGUCCGAUCAUUGAAGAUAGUAAUCUGAGCGAGCCUGAAGACGAGGGUGGAUGUUGUAGCUUGCUGCAAUGAGGGGAAGGAGCUACACUCCGUCACCACCAAGGGGUUAUGGGAGGAGGGGUCGAACAAGCCCAAGCCCUAGAGGAGUCUGUUAUGGAGGUCGUAGUGCGGACCUCCCGACCAGUCUUUUGGUUCGCAAUCUACGCCAUGACUGCAGGUAUAUGUGGAUUAGUUUUUUGAAUUUAGCACCUGUUUAGACUUGUACUUUUUAGUCGCUUAAGGAGAAGGAUCAAGGAUGCAGUGUUGCUUGAUAUGUUUCAUGUGUGUGUUAAUUGAAGUUGUUGAGGUUUAGCAGUGAAUCUAAAGAAUUGAAGACAUGAAUUAGAGUUUUUAUGAAGAUGUUGUGUAUGGUAGUGAAAGAGUUUUGAAGUGAAGUUGAGUUCUAUAAAAAAAAAUGUUUGAUAA